UCGAUUGCGACCCCAGGUCAGGCGGGAUUACCCG
rnacentral:rRNA from 7 species